CGCAAUCGCCCUUCGGGGUGCCCAGGCGCGAAAACUUUGCAAUGCGGGAAACCGUGACAAGGGAACUCUGAGUGCCCGUUAAAUCGGGCUGUCCAUCGGUUUAAACAACCGGUGAAGAAAGGGCCGGGCAAGACCGGUGCCAGCCGCCGCGGUAAUACCGGCGGCUCGAGUGGUGGCCACUAUUACUGGGCUUAAAGCGUUCGUAGCUGGUUUGUUAAGUCUCUGGGGAAAUCUUCCGGCUCAACCGGAAGGCGUCUCAGGGAUACUGGCAGACUAGGGACCGGGAGAGGUGAGAGGUACUCCAGGGGUAGGAGUGAAAUCCUGUAAUCCUUGGGGGACCACCUGUGGCGAAGGCGUCUCACCAGAACGGCUCUGACAGUGAGGGACGAAAGCUGGGGGAGCAAACCGGAUUAGAUACCCGGGUAGUCCCAGCUGUAAACGAUGCGCGUUAGGUGUAUCGGUGACCACGAGUCACCGAGGUGCCGAAGAGAAAUCGUGAAACGUGCCGCCUGGGAAGUACGGUCGCAAGGCUGAAACUUAAAGGAAUUGGCGGGGGAGCAC
rnacentral:rRNA from 1 species